GGAAUAGUAAACACCCAGAGAUUGUGUGGGUUUGCUUUCCUUCUUCUCCUGGAGGAAUGGAGGAUGUUGUUGAACCAGCCAUGUUGUUGAGCCAGCCUAGAGCCCUCCAGUCUGCUUUUUGCACCUCUUCCAUCCACUGAAGUGUCCAUCAGUGCUAGGAGGCAGCACAACUGACACAUCCACAUAGCUGAUCCACUUUUUCUGAUGCUUCAGUAAACCAUGAAGUCUGCUGGUCAGAUUGUUUCUUGUAAAAGCACAGUGAUAUGACACAAAGCUAUUUGCCUGGCUGAAGGCAGGUGGGAGGAAAGUGGUGGGAAAAGCCUGUAGCUAUGAAGAAUUUUUUUAAGGGGGUGGGGUUGGGUUUCAUUUCUCAAGAUUUGUAAUGUUUUCAGAGAGUAUAAAUACCUUGUGAAAAUUAAGACUAUAUUUUGUAAAUUUAUCUCCAAGUUGUCAUGUGCACAUUUUAUUA